rnacentral:rRNA from 1 species
GGCUGUUCGCCAUUUAAAGUGGUACGCGAGCUGGGUUUAGAACGUCGUGAGACAGUUCGGUCCCUAUCUGCCGUGGGCGCUGGAGAAUUGAGGGGGGCUGCUCCUAGUACGAGAGGACCGGAGUGGACGCAUCACUGGUGUUCGGGUUGUCAUGCCAAUGGCACUGCCCGGUAGCUAAAUGCGGAAGAGAUAAGUGCUGAAAGCAUCUAAGCACGAAACUUGCCCCGAGAUGAGUUCUCCCUGACUCCUUGAGAGUCCUGAAGGAACGUUGAAGACGACGACGUUGAUAGGCCGGGUGUGUAAGCGCAGCGAUGCGUUGAGCUAACCGGUACUAAUGAACCGUGAGGCUUAACCUUACAACGCCGAAG